UGCAAGUGCAAGAAAUACGCCUAAAGAAACUGCAGGUCUCGAUGAUCAAAAGAAUGUGGUUGUAUUUGGCGGUUUAGGUGGCUUCGCUGGUGUUGGUGGUGGUAUUGGAGGUGGUAUUGGUGGUGGUCUCGGUGGUGGUAUUGGAGGUGGGCUGCCUGAUCUCGGUGGCACAGGCGGUGGGAUUGGUGGAUUAGGUGGUUUGGGAGGAGAUACAGGGAGCGGUGGAGGUCUUGGUGGUGCUAUUGGUGGUGGUGGGAUUGGCGGUGGUCAAGGUGGUUGUGCUGAUGGUGGUGCUGGCUCUAUCCUUAACCCUUGAUUCCAUUUCAUGGGAUUUUUUAUGUUUAGUGUUUCUGUUGCAUGCAGAUGCAGUUAGUACAUGUGUUUAGUUACUUUUCUGUUUUAUUCACUGUUGAUUUUUUUUUCCCUUUUCCUUUUUUUAGUAUUGUUCGCUGUUUUAUUGUUUUGGAAUUUUAUUAGUAAUAUUUGCCAUUUCUUUACUAAAAUAAUUAUCAAAUUACUUUCACAGUUUGUUCUUAAUUAAUUGUGGAUCAUAAAUAAUUUCAAUUUUACAACAAUGUCUUAACUAACAUAAUAAACAAUCUUAAUCUCGUAAGAGUGAAAAUAUAAAUUUAAUAUAGAGCAGCAGAAUUCUAAUAAAGACAAAACUCUUAUGCGCUAUGCUCAAAAGAGAGUUUAUUCACGCAAAAAAUGGUGAAACAACGGCUCCUAUAUAGUUUUACAACUAAAAUGAUUUAAUUUGAUAGUCAAUUCUGAUUAAAGGAUACGGGAUCUUUGCCAUUCCAUAUCACUCUUCAGAGGUAAAUGAUAUGGUUCUUGAAUUGUCUAAUUUUAGCAAGUUCAUUGGAACUACUAGUUAAUUAACAGUCAAUUCUGAUUAGAGAAUUUUAGAGACGUAUUAAUAUUAAGAUAUGUUUUCAAACGGUUUAAUUAAUGGAAAUAUAUUGUAUAUGUUUUCAAGUAAUUUUUACUCCAAAGAUUAAAGGAUCCAAAAUUUUAAAAUCAUAACUUUUAGAAAUAUUUAUUUAAAUAUUACUCAUAACCGGAUGUGAAUUGUUCUAUAUAUAUUAUUAAUUUGUUGUUGAGCUAAAAUGCCCAAUAUUUUAUUAGUUGCAAGAAGGACCGGCAACCCUCUAAUACUUCAAGAAUAAAAAUUUCAAAUACAUCAAAAAUGAAAAUAGUGAAAUAAAAAACAUAAUGAUGUGAUUUUAAAAUAAUAUCUAUUGAUAUAAAAAUAAUUGUUUUAACAUUAGAAUGCAUAUAUUAUUAUUGAUAUAUUUCUGAUAAAUGUAAUUUGAAUUUAAUGGAUGAUACGAUCAUUUUUAUAUUAUAGUAAACCGAGGAGAAGAUCCAUCUCCUACCUUUCCUUUCCUUCCAAUAAUAUACAUAUCAGAAAUGAAUCAGAUUCGUACAUUAAUUAUUAAUACAUUGGCUUGGCUUCCAACUACUUGUCAUUGUUCAAUGCCUGUGAAAUUUAAAACUUCUCUGCUGCUUUCAGACUUUCAGUUGGCAUGUCUUCAUCAUUUUCUUUUUUUUUUUUUCAAAAAAAAAAAUUUUAUUAUUAAAUUUUUUUAUAUAUUAAUUAAAAGUUCUUUGAGCAAGAGCCUAAGAUCGAGGUGUCUCUCAAAAUUUGAAAAUUUUCUAAAAUAUAGUACUAAAAAUAACAAAUAACAGGCUUAGCUUAAUGAAAUGUGAUACCUAUAAUAUAUAAAAUAAAAAAAAAACCAAAUAACAUUUUUUUGGGAAAAAAAAAAGGAAAUUCGAAGGAUACAUAUUAAGGGUUAAAUAAAAAGAUUGGUAAUAAUAAAGUAAUUAGGUUAAUAGACUUUCUUGCUGUAGCUUAUUAUGAAAAAAAAUAAUUGAUAUAAUUGAAUUUUUAAUUUUUUUUUUAAUUCAUUGGAGGUUUUUAUAGGCCGAAAUAAUAUUGCAGGUUACAAAAAGGGGUAGCCCUUUCCUUGACUCACCAAAUUGGUGAAAACAACUAUAGUCGAGAGAAUUCGAACUCGAAAUCAAUCAAAUCACCACCUGAUCGGCACAAUUGAACUUUUAAUUGAAAUAUAUAAUUAACUUGAUUUGAUAUUAUAUGAAGUGUUAUUGCAUGAUAUUAUUAAUUUUUAGAAUCUUAAUUAUUGAAUAUUUAAAUUUGUAGUAUGAGAAAUUAUCAUAUUCACAUAUAUAUUUUAUCUUCCAUUUCUUUGUCUGUGUUACUUGUCGCAGCAGGAAGCACCAAUGCAUGGCUCACAAUCUGCCACUAAUUUUCCCUCUGCUAAAUUAUAAAUGCCAUUAAUUCUGGCUGUUGAUCUCCCCGUAACAUGUACUAAAGAAAAAAAAAAAAAAAAAACUCACUUUACAAGAAAAAAAGGAUUAAUCAUGGAUAUACCAUUUACUUGUAUUUAACUCCAUUUACUGCUUUCAACCAUUCCAUACUGCUUCAUUUGCCGCUCCUUUUGCCUUUAAAAAGGGCUUCACAAAAACACUUUGAGAUAUCCCUAGAGAAACAGAGGAGAGAGACAGAGAAAGAUGGCUAGGUGGUGUCUUAGUGUUAUGGUUGUGCUUGCUUUAGUAGCUGUGCAAACUAGUGCUAGAAACGUUCCUAAAGUUGAAAAUAUGGCUACUACCAAAACUAAUGUGCCUAGUAAUAAUGCUGGUCUAAAUGACCAAAAGAACUUCCUCACCUACGGUGGUGUUGGUGGCUACAGUGGUCUUGGUGGUAAUGGUCUUCCAUUCGGCGGGGUUGGAGGACUUGGUGGAGUCACUGGCCUAGGUGGCACUGCCGGCAUUGGUGGGUUUGGUGGAGUUGGUGGUGGAAGUGGUCUUGGUGGCCUUGGUGGCUUGGGUGGUGGUGUUGGUGGUUUGGGUGGCGUUGGCGGUGGCGGUGGCGUUGGCGGCGGUGUUGGCGGUGGCGUUGGCGGAGGCGUUGGCAGUGGAACUGGCGUUCUUCCUUAUCCAUGAAAAUAUUGAUCUCAUUUCUGGUUUAUAGCCAGGGUUUAUGAAGAACUCUAUUUUUAUGCAUGGUUAUUAAGUUGGUUGUGUUUGAGGGUUUAUGUAAUGGUUUAAUUUUAAUUACUUUAUGUUUUGCUUGUUUAUUAGGGUUAGUUGGGUGUGUCUCUUUACUUUGAGUUCGAGAUUUUCAUUGUCAUGUUUAUGUUUGAGUGGAUCAUAGUUACAGAAACUUGAGUUUAAUUAAUGAGUUCAUGUUUAUUAUAUUGUGUUCGUGUUUAAUUUUUUUUGGUUCAGCUAAUUUUCAUUUUAAGAUACAUUUUGAUAUGAUUAAAAACAAC
rnacentral:lncRNA from 1 species